rnacentral:rRNA from 1 species
AACGAACGCUGGCGGCAGGCUUAACACAUGCAAGUCGGACGCAUGUCUUCGGACAUGAGUGGCAGACGGGUGAGUAACGCGUGGGAAUCUACCCUUUGGUACGGGAUAGCUCCGGGAAACUGGGAUUAAUACCGUAUGUGCCCUGGACUUAAGGUUUGGGGAAGAUUGAUCGCCAAGGAUGAGCCCGCGUCGGAUUAGCUAGUUGGUGGGUAAAGGCCCACCAAGGUCGACGAUCCGUAGCUGGUCUGAGAGGAUGACCAGCCACAUUGGGACUGAGACACGGCCCAAACUCCUACGGGAGGCAGCAGUGGGAUAUUGGACAAUGGCGCAAGCCUGAUCCAGCCAUGCCGCGU